rnacentral:misc_RNA from 1 species
UCAAACUUGGUCAUUUAGAGUAAGUAAAAGUCGUAACAAGGUUUCCGUAGGUGAACCUGCGGAAGGAUCAUUACCGAGUUGCUCCUGCACUGCAGGAAACUCCCACCCUUGUUUACAGUCACUGUUGCUUGGCGAGACGCUACUUUGUGUCAAGCAGAGUAGCCACCGGCUUUACAAGCGGGUGUGUGCUCGCCAAAGGUUUUUCACUCGAAUAUAUACUGUCAGAGCAAGCGAGAAUUGAUAAAAACUUUCAACAACGGAUCUCUUGGUUUUGGCAUCGAUGAAGAACGCAGC